rnacentral:rRNA from 1 species
GAUGAACGCUGGCGGCGUGCCUAAUACAUGCAAGUCGAGCGAACAGACGAGGAGCUUGCUCCUCUGACGUUAGCGGCGGACGGGUUAGUAACACGUGGAUAACCUACCUAUAAGACUGGGAUAACUUCGGGAAACCGGAGCUAAUACCGGAUAAUAUAUUGAACCGCAUGGUUCAAUAGUGAAAGACGGUUUUGCUGUCACUUAUAGAUGGAUCCGCGCCGCAUUAGCUAGUUGGUAAGGUAACGGCUUACCAAGGCAACGAUGCGUAGCCGACCUGAGAGGGUGAUCGGCCACACUGGAACUGAGACACGGUCCAGACUCCUACGGGAGGCAGCAGUAGGGAAUCUUCCGCAAAGGGCGAAAGCCUGACGGAGCAACGCCGCGUGAGUGAUGAAGGUCUUCGGAUCGUAAAACUCUGUUAUUAGGGAAGAACAAAUGUGUAAGUAACUAUGCACGUCUUGACGGUACCUAAUCAGAAAGCCACGGCUAACUACGUG